rnacentral:rRNA from 1 species
AUAGGCUAUAGGUGUAAUGGCAGUAAUGUCUUAGCCGAGUAGUACUAAUAACCCAUAGGCUUAUGUAC